AUACUUACCUGGCAGAGGAGAUACCGUGAUCACAAAGGUGGUUUUCCCAUGGCAAGGCUUAUCUGUUUCUGUAUUAGUCCAUUUUUCACACCACUAUAAGGAAUGCCUGAGACUGGGUAAUUUAUGAAGAAAAGGUUAAUUGACUCACAGUUCUACAGGGCGGGGGAGGCCUGA
ensembl:snRNA U1 U1 spliceosomal RNA